UCAAAACUCUCGAUGAACUCUACAAGUAGGAGGAUAGAGACAUAGCACCGCAACACUGGUUUUGAGCACCGCAGCGCUAGGAGGUUUGCGGGGUAAGUUUGUCAAGCUGAUUUUCAAUUCUAUUCAACUUGGGAUUUGUUAUGUUGAUUCCAAAUUGGAUGGUGAGUCUACAAAUUUAAGGAAGAAGCCUAUAAAUACCUCAAAGGGCUGAUUUUCAACGGGACUAACAACUUACAUCUAACUUAACACCAUUCAAGUUAGGAUUCUUCAUCAGAUUUCUAGGAGCGCGAAGGAGAGCAAGUAAGAGGCUAAGUGUAGAGAUCAAGAACCGCGUGACACAUAUUUUUCUCUUCUCUUUUUCUUUACUUUUUGUAAUCCUAAGAUGUUCUUUGGUUUUAUGAUGAUGUCUCCCAACCUUGUUAUGAUUUAACUUAUUGAGAUUAUAAUGGAACAUAAUGAUUAGUUUAAAUUGACUUUCAUGUUUUGAUUAUUAUUGAUCAUAAUUGAGUCGAUUAUCAUACUUUGUGCUUAUCGAUGAUUGCCUAGCUAAUAAUUAUUAUGAUAUAACCUAGAUGAAGUUAGAAGAUGAAUUCUAGGGUUAGAUAUGAAUAUGAUAACAUGUGUUCUAGAUUAUUCUCUUGAUUGAAUAACUAGAUUCGUGUAUAGAAUAUGAAUAUACCUAUAGGACAUGCAACCUUGUUAAGAAUUGGUUCUUAAUGAUUCUGUUCUUAAUUAUUUCACUUAGGAAUAUAAUGAUUUAAUUAGAGUCGAUAUUUUUAUUAAACUAUAAGAAAAAGGUUUAUUAAAUAAUUAUGAAUUCAUGGUUGGCGAUUCUGUAUAAUUAAUUGAUUAAAAAGAGAGCGAAAAGAUUUAGGCGAGACAUUAGGGAAAAUUGUAAUAAGAUUGACUUGAUACAAAGUUAGUACUUAGAUAAUAUUAUUAGCAUAUUCCUCGUGGGAUUGACACUCUACUUACUACUUUAUUACUUGUCGAUCAUGUAUAUAUACUUGCGUCUAAUUGUCAAAACCAAUUUUGGACAACAAGUUUUUGGUGUUGUUGCUAGAGAAUAUUACUAAUAAUUUUUUCAAUAUUAAUUUCAAUCAAUUUGAUCUUAAUUUAAAUGUACUUUUUUGUUUUUAAUUUUUUUGUUUUAAUAUUUUUUUCGUAGGUAGACCAUGGCCAACUAUGAUUAUGAGUGGCCUUAUACCAGAAUGAUUUAACCAAAGGAGGCAGGGAUUUAUGGACUCGAUGCAUUGUCAGUACAGAUAAAGACACUUUAAAGAAAUAUUGACACUUUAGCAGCGCAACCUAUUCAAAGUGUAGCGAUGAUUUGUGAUUGUAGUGCUAGAAACCAUCUGAGUCAUCAAUGCGUCAUCAGUUUUGAGUCAGUACAAUAUGGUGGCAACUUCGGCGACUAUCCCAACGAUUAUCAUUAUAGUUGGGGGAAUUGUAACAAUUGUAGAUUUUACUAUUCUGGGGACAAAAUGCUUAUAAGAAGGGAAGAAUGUAACGAUUGUAAAUUUGUAAAAAGAAUUAUAAAUAUUUAUCAGGUAAAAUAAAUAUUUUAUUUGAAAUAAUUUAUUUUGUGUAAUUAUGUUACUCAAAUAUAUGAGAAUUACAUGUAUAUUUU
rnacentral:lncRNA from 1 species